CUUUGCCAUUGUGACUUUAGCCAAGUGUUGUGGAGGUCAGUGUACUAUAAGUUCUAACCAGAAACUUUUGUUUUGACGUUAAUUAUUAUACAUUUGGAUGUAAUUGCUCCAAGGGCUGCCGAUUUUACACAUAGGUAUGGUUGCAGUUCUGAACAACAGCCCGUACCUCCAGUGGAAUGAGAGAAUCAUUUGUAAGGUAUGAUUGAAUUUGCUGCCUGUGCCUUUGUUAUGUAUACUCCAGCAAAUAAGGUAAUUGCAGUGUUUUUUUUUUUA